UACGUAGGGUGCGAGCGUUGUCCGGAAUUAUUGGGCGUAAAGAGCUCGUAGGCGGUGUGUCACGUCGGCCGUGAAAACCUGGGGCUUAACUCUGGGCGUGCGGUCGAUACGGGCAUCACUAGAGUUCGGCAGGGGAGACUGGAAUUCCUGGUGUAGCGGUGAAAUGCGCAGAUAUCAGGAGGAACACCGAUGGCGAAGGCAGCCUUCUGGGCCAACACUGACGCUCAUGCACGAAAGCGUGGGGAGCAAACAGG
rnacentral:rRNA from 1 species